UGCCUGAAACAUGAGUGCUUUUACCAGUACUCUUGAAUUUGACGCAUUUUUAUAAAGAAAUUGUGGAGCCGGAGGAAAUCUACAGAGGAUGUAACUCAAACGCCUCAUUCUACAGCAGAGAAGCAGAAGAACCAGAUGGCCUGUCACAUACAGCAUGCCUCCAGCUUGCAGACGGAAAGGAUGGAGAGAAGUUCAUGGGAGUCCAGGAGGAGGCAGACUCUUUUUUAAGGACACCGGGAGCUCUGUAAGGUGACACCAUCUAAGAACACAGCUCUGGCUUCAGGGUAACGUAUUUUUAGGUGGACAAUACUGGCUGGUUAACCGUUAGCCCCAGAGUCAUAUGGCAGAUCUCCACAAUCCAUUCAUCUUGCAUUACUGAAGCUUCGAUACCCACGGAUCGCCACCUUAUUUCCUCCUUCACUUCACCCCCAGCAACCGGUUACGCUUUUGCUCUCUGCUUUUGCUCUCUGCUUCUCCAGAGGAAAGAAAGAAAAACGCAGAAGAUCAUCAGAGGUUUUCUCAAAGAUCCAGACAAAGUUAAUCAGCAGAAAUCCUGAAUUCCAUGCUACCACAGAACGUGUCCUCCAUCUUCUCUUCUGGGGCGCGGAACAGCGACUUCGGUUAAAACAUCAUAGCAAACACAAUGUGAUAGCCUCCUGCUGUAUCUGUCUAAUUUACAAACACUUUUGUAAGCAUUUUCCUCUUCACUGGAAAGGCAUAUCACUCCAGUUUCCAUAAAUAGUUGAUUAAACAUGGUAA